GAUGAACGCUAGCGGCAGGCCUAACACAUGCAAGUCGAGGGAGAAGCCCUUUCGGGGGCAGAAACCGGCGCACGGGUGCGUAACGCGUAUGCAACCUACCUUUCACAGGGGGAUAGCCCGAAGAAAUUUGGAUUAAUACCCCAUAAUAUUAUUGGAUGGCAUCAUUUGAUAAUUAAAACUGCGGUGGUGAAAGAUGGGCAUGCGUCCUAUUAGCUAGUUAGAGUGGUAACGGCACCCCAAGGCUACGAUAGGUAGGGGUCCUGAGAGGGAGAUCCCCCACACUGGUACUGAGACAGGGACCAGACUCCUACGGGAGGCAGCAGUGAGGAAUAUUGGUCAAUGGUCGGAAGACUGAACCAGCCAUGCCGCGUGCAGGAAGAAUGCCUUAUGGGUUGUAAACUGCUUUUAUAUGGGAAGAAUAAGGCGUACGUGUACGUUGAUGACGGUACCAUAUGAAUAAGCAUCGGCUAACUCCGUG
rnacentral:rRNA from 1 species